rnacentral:rRNA from 1 species
GACGAACGCUGGCGGCGUGCUUAACACAUGCAAGUCGAACGGAAAGGCCCUGCUUUUGUGGGGUGCUCGAGUGGCGAACGGGUGAGUAACACGUGAGUAACCUGCCCUUGACUUUGGGAUAACUUCAGGAAACUGGGGCUAAUACCGGAUAGGAGCUCCUGCUGCAUGGUGGGGGUUGGAAAGUUUCGGCGGUUGGGGAUGGACUCGCGGCUUAUCAGCUUGUUGGUGGGGUAGUGGCUUACCAAGGCUUUGACGGGUAGCCGGCCUGAGAGGGUGACCGGCCACAUUGGGACUGAGAUACGGCCCAGACUCCUACGGGAGGCAGCAGUGGGGAAUAUUGCACAAUGGGCGGAAGCCUGAUGCAGCAACGCCGCGUGCGGGAUGACGGCCUUGGGGUUGUAAACCGCUUUCGCCUGUGACGAAGCGUGAGUGACGGUAAUGGGUAAAGAAGCACCGGCUAACUACGUG